AUUGAACGCUGGCGGCAGGCUUAACACAUGCAAGUCGAGCGGGGUGAUGGUGCUUGCACUAUCACUUAGCGGCGGACGGGUGAGUAAUGCUUAGGAAUCUGCCUAUUAGUGGGGGACAACAUCUCGAAAGGGAUGCUAAUACCGCAUACGUCCUACGGGAGAAAGCAGGGGAUCACUUGUGACCUUGUGCUAAUAGAUGAGCCUAAGUCGGAUUAGCUAGUUGGUGGGGUAAAGGCCUACCAAGGGGACGAUCUGUAGCGGGUCUGAGAGGAUGAUCCGCCAAACUGGGCCUGGGCCACGGCCCAGACUCCUACGGGGGGCAGCAGUGGGGAAUAUUGGACAAUGGGGGGAACCCUGAUCCAGCCAUGCCGCGUGUGUGAAGAAGGCCUUAUGGUUGUAAAGCACUUUAAGCGAGGAGGAGGCUUACCUAGUUAAUACCUGGGAUAAGUGGACGUUACUCGCAGAAUAAGCACCGGCUAACUCUGUGCCAGCCGCCGCAGUAA
rnacentral:rRNA from 1 species